GGGUUGUGAGGUUAAGCGACUAAGCGUACACGGUGGAUGCCCUGGCAGUCAGAGGCGAUGAAGGGCGUGCUAAUCUGCGAUAAGCGCCGGUAAGGUGAUAUGAACCGUUAUAACCGGCGAUACCCGAAUGGGGAAACCCAGUGUGAUUCGUCACACUAUCAUUAACUGAAUCCAUAGGUUAAUGAGGCGAACCGGGGGAACUGAAACAUCUAAGUACCCCGAGGAAAAGAAAUCAACCGAGAUUCCCCCAGUAGCGGCGAGCGAACGGGGAGGAGCCCAGAGCCUGAAUCAGCAUGUGUGUUAGUGGAAGCGUCUGGAAAGGCGCGCGAUACAGGGUGACAGCCCCGUACACAAAAGCGCAUGUGCUGUGAGCUCGAUGAGUAGGGCGGGACACGUGGUAUCCUGUCUGAAUAUGGGGGGACCAUCCUCCAAGGCUAAAUACUCCUGACUGACCGAUAGUGAACCAGUACCGUGAGGGAAAGGCGAAAAGAACCCCGGCGAGGGGAGUGAAAAAGAACCUGAAACCGUGUACGUACAAGCAGUGGGAGCCCCACCACUAAGCCAGUGGUGAACUCCACAUACGCAUCCUUUGCUGAGGAUACGGUUAACGGAGCGAAAGCGACGUUCAACCGCAAAAGAAGCAGAGGGGGCUUAGUGGUGGGGUGACUGCGUACCUUUUGUAUAAUGGGUCAGCGACUUAUAUUCUGUAGCAAGGUUAACCGUAUAGGGGAGCCGGAGGGAAACCGAGUCUUAAUUGGGCGUUAAGUUGCAGGGUAUAGACCCGAAACCCGGUGAUCUAGCCAUGGGCAGGUUGAAGGUUGGGUAACACUAACUGGAGGACCGAACCGACUAAUGUUGAAAAAUUAGCGGAUGACCUGUGGCUGGGGGUGAAAGGCCAAUCAAACCGGGAGAUAGCUGGUUCUCCCCGAAAGCUAUUUAGGUAGCGCCUCGUGAAUUCAUCUCCGGGGGUAGAGCACUGUUUCGGCUAGGGGGCCAUCCCGGCUUACCAACCCGAUGCAAACUGCGAAUACCGGAGAAUGUUAUCACGGGAGACACACGGCGGGUGCUAACGUCCGUCGUGAAGAGGGAAACAACCCAGACCGCCAGCUAAGGUCCCAAAGUCAUGGUUAAGUGGGAAACGAUGUGGGAAGGCCCAGACAGCCAGGAUGUUGGCUUAGAAGCAGCCAUCAUUUAAAGAAAGCGUAAUAGCUCACUGGUCGAGUCGGCCUGCGCGGAAGAUGUAACGGGGCUAAACCAU
rnacentral:rRNA from 2 species